rnacentral:rRNA from 1 species
GACGAACGCUGGCGGCGUGCUUAACACAUGCAAGUCGAACGGAAAGGCCCUGCUUUUGUGGGGUGCUCGAGUGGCGAACGGGUGAGUAACACGUGAGUAACCUGCCCUUGACUUUGGGAUAACUUCAGGAAACUGGGGCUAAUACCGGAUAGGAGCUCCUGCUGCAUGGUGGGGGUUGGAAAGUUUCGGCGGUUGGGGAUGGACUCGCGGCUUAUCAGCUUGUUGGUGGGGUAGUGGCUUACCAAGGGUUUGACGGGUAGCCGGCCUGAGAGGGUGAACGGCCACAUUGGGACUGAGAGACGGACCAGACUCCAACGGGAGGCAGCAGGGGGGAAUAUUGCACAAUGGGCCGAAGCCUGAGGCAGCAACGCCGGGUGCGGGAUGACGGCCUUCGGGUUGUAAACCGCUUUCGCCUGUGACGAAGCGUGAGUGACGGUAAUGGGUAAAGAAGCACCGGCUAACUACGUG